rnacentral:rRNA from 1 species
UACAGAGGUCCCAAGCGUUGUUCGGAUUCAUUGGGCGUAAAGGGUGCGUAGGUGGCGCCGUAAGUGGGGUGUGAAAUUUCGGAGCUUAACUCCGAAACUGCAUUCCAUACUGCGGUGCUUGAGGACUGGAGAGGAGACUGGAAUUCAUGGUGUAGCAGUGAAAUGCGUAGAGAUCAUGAGGAAGACCAGUGGCGAAGGCGGGUCUCUGGGCCGAUACUGACGCUGAGGAGCGAAAGCGUGGGGAGCGAACAGG